GUAAUCUGACACUAUAUAACACUAUAUCAGUGUACACAAAAAAGAAAGCGAGAAUACAGAGAAAAUCAAGAAAAAUAAAACGCAGAAAACAGAGAGAAAAUAAAAACAGAGCAGAAAAAAAAAACGAUUGAAAAAAAGCAGAGUGAAACAUGAAGUGAGACGAACAGAGCAAAAGAGUGGAAGGCAAAAAAUACAGAAAGCAAAACCCAGCUUUGUCUUUGUCCCCGGAUUCAAGCAGAAUAGGCAAACUAAAAAGAACAAGAAAACAGAGGGAGUGGGUUUGAAAAUAAAAGGGAGGAGAAGGAUGUUCUUCGGCCGGAGCUAGAAUCAUCACCCCGUCUGCUUCCCCAUCGCUUACUUCACCCAGAUGUCCACAGGAGGCAUUCAAGGUGAUUGCAUCUGGUGGUAGGAAAUUAACUGGCUUCACUUUCACAAUCUUCUUCUGCAGCAGAAUGGUCCGCAGAGCUCAAACUAGCUCAGGAAGAGACAAAAUUAUGCAUGCCAAACUGAUAAGCUCUGAAUUCGCCAAUUUAGCAGAAAUCUUUACAUGAACAUGAACAUGUUCCUUUGCUGAUAUGUAAAUGGAGUGAUUUUGUGUCAAGUAGAUUAUGGAAGUAUGUAGCAGUGACAGUGAGGGCGACAUGUUCUUUAUUGAAAUCUUUAAUUUCUAAGACAAGAACAUGGUACAAGUUCAUUGCAGAUGCGUGAUAGUGGUGACAUACUGACAUGUACUUCAUUUAAAUCUUUAAUUUACAAGAGGAAAACAGUGUUUGAGUUUAAA